AUUGUCAUUCCUACCUGUCCUUGUCGCUGUCGUCAUAGCGAUCUUCACUUAAAUGGAGGGGAGAGACCAUAGCUUGGAUGUUUCGUCAGUUUGGUCAAUGUCAUCUCUACUCAUCGGAACAAUGCCAUCAACUGCCCCUCAUAUUUCUGAGGACAAAGAUGAAGAAACCAUGUUUGAGUCUGCAUGCACCUCAUCAUGGCCGUUUGAUUCCAAACCACUUACCAGUGCUGAUGCAACAGAGGGUUGGAAGUAUUUUCAAAUAGCAGUAAGUGUUAAAAUACGAAAAAAAAAAUAAUAGUCAGUAGCCACGUGUACAUGGGAAACAUUUAUUUAAUCUGAUCAUAAUUCGAGUUAGAAUGUUACUGUGUACAUGAACCCUGAUAAAAAUUAUCAGAUUAUGACGUGCCUUUUCAUGCGUGUGGACUUCAAUUUUGUUUCCGACGUGUGUGAUCGGGUCAAAAUAUUCCGAAUGGCGUGUUUACAUGAAGCAUCUUUAUUUGGAAUACGUUAUUUUGACAUGUGCAGCACAAACUGUCAACGGUAGUAGACGAAGAAGAAGCAGUGACUUCCGCUGUAAACAAACAUGGCUCUGUGCAUGUCUGCUUGUCCAAUGUUGUCACGUUAUUUAUUUAUAAAUGUUUCCUUCUCUUUGCUACUUUUGUUUUACCUCUCUUUUUGUAAUGGACCUGUUCUGUGUCCUCAAUGUUGUGAUAUGUCCGGGUUGCUGCGCAUCUUCAUGUGACGACAUUCUGUGUACGUGCCUUAAGGCUAGUGGUUAGCACUUGGAGUAGCUGUAAGGCCGUGAAUAAAACAACUUGU